AAACAGGCUAAAUGGGGGGAAAAAGAUCCCCUUUUAUUUUUCAGAAUUGUGGCUUGCAUUGUAAGAGGAGCCUGUGAAUUCAGAGGCAAGUCUGCUGAGGACCGAAUGUUCCUGUCCAUAAAAACAGAAGUCUGGCCUGGGCUCCUCUCUUGGGUGAAUUUGCAAUGCCAGAUCCUCUCUAUCAGUUUGGUUUUGUUUCUUGUAUCUCUGGGAAGGCAGGCAGACAGCACGGUCACCUGUGAAUGCAGCUACAAUUGGCUUAGCUGCCUCACUGAUAAAUGUGCCCCCAGUAAGCUACAAAGGGAUUACCAGCGUUCUCAGCAGCUAAAGGAACUGGUGAAGAUUUCCCCAGCAAAAAGUAGAAGCUCAGUGUUUCAUAGAUGAAGACUGGGGAGAUUGCAAAAGACCCAUCCAGAGUCUCACUUUGUCGCCCAGGCUGGAGUACAGUGGUGCGAUCUUGGCUCUCUGCAACCUCUGCCUCCCAGGUUCAAGUAAUUCUCCUGCCUCAGCCUCCCGAGUAGCUGGUACUACAGGCACACAUUUGUAGAGAUGGUGUUUCCCCAUGUCAUCCAGGCUGGUCUGGAACUCCUGGGAUCAAGUAAUCCACCCGCCUCGGCCUCCCAAAGUGCUGGGAUUACAGACGUGAGCCACCACGCCCUGCCAAUAAAAAGAUUAUCUCCAGAUGCUGGAAUGACCAGUAAUUUAUUUUCUUCCUUUUUUUUUGUCUGCACUUUCUACCAUAAUCAUAUGUUAGCUUCUUACUAAGAAGAAAAGUCAAUGUUAUUUCCCUGAAAAAGUAAUGUUGUUUGGUUAUUAAACAAAUUUAAUUUUCUAAACAAGAGUACGACAGGUAAACUGCCUACCUUAAAAGCAAACGAACACAAAUAAAUAAACUAACCAUCUUCCACUUCAGUCUCUGUCCUUUCACCAGAGUUGCUGAUCAGCCCAGAAUGGACUGAUUUGAAUUUGCUUAGUUGUUCAUUCAUUCAUUUAUUUAACAAGUAUUUAUUAAGCACUUGCUCUGUAGAAAGCACUGUGCUGGUAUUGGAAUACUGGCUUAUGUAAGUGUGAUAGUAAUGGGAUUCUGACUUAGGCCUGACUCCUGGGCCGUAAUGUUUGGAUACUAUGUAUACAUCUAACUAUAAAACGAG
rnacentral:lncRNA from 10 species